rnacentral:misc_RNA from 1 species
AGAGGAAGGAGAAGUCGUAACAAGGUUUCCGUAGGUGAACCUGCGGAAGGAUCAUUGUCGAAACCUGCUGAGCAGAACGACCUGUGAACGCUUUAAAACACCAGAGGGUGCGUGCCUUGAGUGCGUUCCCCUCCCUUCUUCAUCAGGCGCGGGCUUGGCUCGUGCUUGUUGCAGAACAACCAACCCCGGGCGCAGCAUGCGCCAAGGAAAACUAACAAGAGAGCACGAUCUGAGGCCCCAUACGUGGUGCAAUGCUUCGGACGCGGUGCUAUCUUUCAAAUUAUCUAUAACGACUCUCGCAACGNNNNNNNNNNNNNNNGCAUCGAUGAAGAACGCAGCGAAAUGCGAUACUUGGUGUGAAUUGCAGGAUCCCGUGAACCAUCGAGUUUUUGAACGCAAGUUGCGCCCCAAGCUGUUAGGCUGAGGGCACGUCUGCCUGGGUGUCACGCAUCAUUGCCCCACCCCCACCCCUCUGGGGCCGUGUGGUGUAGGCGGAGAAUGGCCUCCCGUGAGCAACCGCUCGUGGUUGGCCCAAAAAUGAGUCCUCGGCGACCAAAGCCGUGACGAUCGGUGGUGCAAAGUUGCCUCUCGAGUUCACGUCGCGUGCUUAUGUCUCAGAUUAGAGACUCAAGGACCCAGACGCUCAGUAAAAAACAGAGCUCGCAUCGCGACCCCAGUCAGGCGGG